AGCGAACGCUGGCGGCAGGCCUAACACAUGCAAGUCGAACGAACCUUUCGGGGUUAGUGGCGGACGGGUGAGUAACACGUGGGAACGUGCCUUUAGGUUCGGAAUAACUCAGGGAAACUUGUGCUAAUACCGAAUGUGCCCUUCGGGGGAAAGAUUAAUCGCCUUUAGAGCGGCCCGCGUCUGAUUAGCUAGUUGGUUGAGGUAAUGGCUCACCAAGGCGACGAUCAGUAGCUGGUCUGAGAGGAUGAUCAGCCACAUUGGGGCUGAGACACGGCCCAAACUCCUACGGGAGGCAGCAGUGGGGAAUCUUGCGCAAUGGGCGAAAGCCUGACGCAGCCAUGCUGCGUGAAUGAUGAAGGUCUUAGGAUUGUAAAAUUCUUUCACCGGGGACGAUAAUGACGGUACCCGGAGAAGAAGCCCCGGCUAACUUCGUG
rnacentral:rRNA from 1 species